UUANNNCAAUAUAAAGCUUCGAUGAGACCUCAAUACCCGCUUUUGUCUCUAACCACGGUAAAAAGUCUUCACGUUCUUAUCCAAAUAAUGAUUAUUUACCUAACACGCGAAAAUAAGUAGUCCUUUAAAUCGAGAUAUUUGCUCUGUAAAAAAACUAAAAUAUAUGCUAACAAAAUGAACAAGACGAAAUUGGAGUAAGAAUGGAGAGAGCGAACGAACCUUGGAUUUAGAUAUGGAGGAGAAAUGACGAGAAGUGGUCAAGAGAUAUCGUAAAGACCACCGUGGUUUUGCGAUACUAAUACGCGGCAGUUGCAUUUGAAGCAAAACGACAGUCUCGUCUCGACUCUUUCUGAGCUUGUCGUUUGGUUUGAUGAUGGUUUACUGUGGAAGUGAAGCUCGGGUUGUUGAAGACUUGAAGUGAGCAACAGGAGGACUGCACAUGUAACUGGAGGUGGAGUUGAGGGAAUGUUUGGCUGGCUGGCUUAGUUUACUCCUCUGGUGGAUUGUAACUGACGAAUUGAUUAUCUGCUUGACCCGAUCAUAUUCAUAGACUCAACAUUUCCAACAAUACUCCUUCAAUGUCUUUCUAUUAAAUCAUAAUAAAUGCAUCUUUGAUCUCUUGCAUUUUUAUUGUUUUUAGACAAUUUUACAUGGAGUCUUUACACUUUCAGUUUU
rnacentral:lncRNA from 1 species